rnacentral:rRNA from 1 species
UACGUAGGAGGCGAGCGUUGUCCGGAGUACUGGGCGUAAAGCGCACGCAGGCGGUCUCUUAAGUCUGUAGGGACAGGGCACAGCUCAACUGUGUCAGGCUUACGGAAACUGGGAGACUUGAGGGCUUCAGAGGGAUGGGGAAUUCCGGGUGGAGUGGUGAAAUGCGUAGAGAUCCGGAAGAACACCAAAGGCGAAGGCACCAUCCUGGGGAGUCACUGACGCUCGGGUGCGAAAGCCAGGGGAGCGAACGGG